CCUCGGGACCUCGGAGCAGGGCCGGAGAGCAGCCAUGACACUCCUGGGUCCGGAGGAGGCUAGCUGCGGGCACAGACCGCUUCUAUACCGCUGAUGAGAGCUUGUCCUUGAAGAAGGACCACGGGAGACUUCACUGAGGCAGGCAGAUGCGGGCCAGGAAGCAUCCAAGUAGAAGCAGGCUCAGGAGGGCCUGCCUGCCCGCAGGCUCACGGAGCACCAGAGGUUCACCCCUGCAGCCUGUCCCCGCCAGGCGAGUGUGCAGUCACUGGCACACUCAGGGUCACUGGCAUGGCUGGGGACACUAGCGCAGCGGCUAGUGUGAGGGGGCUCACACGCCGCCUUUCCGCAGUACCCAGCUUUGCCGUGCACCCCUUUCCUUCUUCCAUGCCCGACUUCCCCUCACCCCUCAACAGUAAACUCUAAAGAAGGUCUAGCUCCAAUGGCAGCGACACUGAUGGUGUGGAGGGCUGGCUUCUCAAGGUGCCUCCUGUCAGCAGCGACACACUUCUGGCUCCAGCUAGAGUGAGGAUAGGGGCACAGGGCCGCAGCGUGAGCGCCAGGCGCAAGAACGGCUCUGGCUCGCCCCAGCGCAGCCCCAGGGAGCAGAUCUGGAUCACGGGGUCACGCUCAGGCUCGGGGAAGAUGCCUGCAGAGAGGAGGACACCGGGACCUCAUUCCUGCAGGGGCCUGGCACAUCACCAAUGUCCAGAGAGAGAGAGAGGAGGAGCCCGGGCUCUCGGGACAGACCUUUCCGGCCGGCACACUCGAU